UUACGGCCAUACCACUUUGAAACACCUGUUCUCGUACGAUCCCCCGACGUUAAGCAACGUCUAGCCUGGUCAGUACCCAGAUGGGUGACCGCUUGGGAAUACUAAGUGCUGUAAG